CUGCAUCGGCUGGCCGGGCUCCAUGUCCGACGCCGACGUGCUCGACCGCUCCGCGCUCUACGCGCAGCGCGGCGCCGCGGGGAGGCUGCAGGGGCAGUGGGUCGUCGGCGGCGCCGGCUACCCGCUCAUGGACUGGGUGCUGGUCCCCUACACGCACCAGAACAUGACGUGGGCGCAACACGUGUUCAACGAGCGGGUGGACGGCGUGCGCGCCGUGGCGCGGGACGCGUUCCGCCGCCUCAAGGCACGCUGGGGCUGCCUCCAGAAGCGCACCGAGGUGAAGCUGCAGGACCUCCCCGUGGUGCUCGGCGCCUGCUGCGUGCUUCACAACAUCUGCGAGCGCGCCGGCGACGCCGUCGACCCCGAAAACGCCUUCCAGAUCUUCGACGACGACAUGGUCGCCGACAACCCCGUGCGCUCGCAGCCCGCCGUCACCGCGCGCGACCAAAUCGCCCACAAC
rnacentral:lncRNA from 1 species